rnacentral:rRNA from 1 species
UGCCUGAACACAUGCAAGUCGAACGAGAAAGUCCUUCUUCGGAAUGGGCGAGUAAAGUGGCGCACGGGUGAGUAACGCGUAGGGUAACCUGCCCCUGUGUUCGGGAUAACAGUGCGAAAGCGCUGCUAAUACCGGAUGUGGCCGGAAGACGGUGGUCUUCUGGUCAAAGUCGGCCUCUCAAAGAAGCUGACGCGCGGGGAUGGGCCUGCGUCCUAUCAGCUAGUUGGUAGGGUAACGGCCUACCAAGGCUUCGACGGGUAGCUGGUCUGAGAGGAUGAUCAGCCACACUGGCACUGAAACACGGGCCAGACUCCUACGGGAGGCAGCAGUGAGGAAUUUUGCGCAAUGGCCGCAAGGCUGACGCAGCAACGCCGCGUGGGUGAAGAAGGCCUUCGGGUCGUAAAGCCCUGUCAGGUGGGAAGAACGGCCAAGGGGUUAACAGCUCUUUGGCGUGACGGUACCACCAGAGGAAGCACCGGCUAACUCCGUGCCAGCAGCCGCGGUAA